GACGAACGCUGGCGGCGUGCCUAAUACAUGCAAGUUGAGCGCACAGGCGUGGUGCUUGUUCCAACUGGAUGAGCAGCGGACGGGUGAGUAACGCGUGGGGAAUCUACCUUUGAGCGGGGGACAACAUUGGGAAACGAAUGCUAAUACCGCAUAAAAACUUUAAACACAAGUUUUAAUUGUGAAAGAUGCAAUUGCAGCACUCAAUGAUGAUCUCCCGGUGGAUUAGGUAGUUGGUGAGGUAAAGGCCCAACAAAGCGAAGAUACAUAGCCGGACUUAGAGGGUGAUCGGCCACAAUGGGAAUGGGAACCGGCCCAAACUCCUAAGGGAGGGAGCAGUAGGGAAACUUUGGGAAUGGACGAAAGGCUGAACGAGCAACGCCGGGGGAGUGGAGAAGGGUUUCGGAUCGUAAAACUCUGUUUGUAGAGAAGAACGUUGGUGGGAGUGGAAAGCUCAUGACGUGACGGUACCUAACCAGAAAGGGACGGCUAACUACGUG
rnacentral:rRNA from 1 species